CAGAGCAGAGCUCUGGCCAGGAUAAACGGGCCUGUGGAGGUACUGGGGCUGCAGUGGUGCAGCUAGGCCAGGAAAAGGCAGCAGGUCCAAACCCCCUUACCAAUGAUGAGCAGCUAUUGUAGACUACAGUUUGCCCCUGAGAAAAGGGGCUAGAUGAAGACUAGCAGUUGGUCACUGAGGCAAGUGACCAGAUGCUCUGCCGGGGUCACUGGUGCCCUCCCCAGCAUGGUCGCUGAAACAAACGAAGAGCACUUGCUCGGUGCAGCCACAAUCCCAGAGGACGAUCCAUCAGAAAGAUCCCGACGUGGCAGAGAAGGGAGCUGUUUCUGAGGUCUGGAGGCCAGCUGUGGAUGUACGCAGUGACGCUCUUCUCCAUGCUUAGCUCAGUUUCUACCACCUAGGACUGCCUUACUCCGGCUGUUCUUCUGGCGCCCAGUCCUGCAGUCUUUUCUGGGGAAGAACUCCCAUGGAAGCCAGUGGAAACUUUGUUUUGGAGGAGGACUCCUGGGUUUGAUGCUCUGUAGCCUGUAGCUUACAGAUUUCCGAGUCUUCAGUUGCUGCUCAGUGAUUUGAUUUAUUGUUAUCUGGUUUCUCUCUGGGCUCCUUUGGGCCCCGUCCAGUGCUGGAUGGGGUGUGGAGCAGCCUACCUCCUCCCCACACUGCGAGGGGAGCUUCGAGAGGAAUUCCGCCUUGGGGAGUCCCUCUUGGAGCCGACUGGCACACAGAACGAACAUGCCCAUGGCUAUGGCCCUUUGGGGGGAUACAGCUCCCUGCCUCCACACUGCUGGCCCCACACUGGGGUGGAAAAAGGGUGUGUGGAGCCAGGCUGUGCACAUCCUGGGGGAAUGUAGGCUUCUAGCUCAGCUUAGCUCUGGGGAGCUGCAAAUCCAAUGCUUUGCCAGUGGGGUGAGAA